GCUAUCCAACGAACCUACUGUUUUUUAUUUUUUGUGAUUUACUACUAACUAUGUGAAGAUUCCUACACCUAGAUUAUGUAAAAUGAGAUAGUUAUAAAGAAUCCGAUGCUUUCUCAUAGGAAUUCAGAGACCGAAAUAUAACAUGACAAGAGAUAGCGGUGAACAACUACCAUUUCCUUAAGCUGAUACUACCACCAACUGAAUCAUGCAAAUGCUUGUGAUAUACUACUGCUAAUAUGGUAAUAAGAAGACAAAGCAAAUUGAUUGGAGAUAUUGAAAUAUUAAUGG
rnacentral:lncRNA from 1 species